GGACAGGAAAGUGAGGGCUUUAAUUAGGAAGAGAAAGAAAUCUAGAAGCUAAGUUGUGUCCAUAGCAGGCAGAGAGCAGGCCAGGAGCCACAUGGAGCAAGUGUAUGAUUAUAAGCAGCCACAGGUAGCUUAGCACGAGCAGCAAAACAAAGGCAGAGAGGCGGCAAGAAGGCUAUGUCCCCAAAUGUGGUGGAAUAAGGCUGUGCCAAGAUGGCCGCUGACAAGCGAGCGUCAGUUAUGCAGGAAUGGCUUUGAAACCCACCUGGCAACAGAGCCUGCUUGGUAACAGGCUAUGAUUGGAUGGCUUUGGAAAUCACAUGGCAACAGAGCCUGCCUGGCAACAGGCUGUGAUUGGAUGGCUUCGGAUACUGCUUGGCAACAGGUUGUGAUUGGUUAGGGCAUAAACUGCCCCUUGACCAGAUUGGCUGCCUUGGCUAUUUAAGCUGCUGUACCAACUGAAAUAAACGAGUGUGCCAGCUGCUCGCCUCUGCCCUGCUUUCACCGACUCCUGGGGUCUGUGUGGUGACUCUGCGCCUCUUGCCCCCACUGCGCUCCUCCUCUCUGAACAAAUCCACCUCAAUACCCGAAGGCACAGGACAACAAGAGGGGGCACCCACCGUGCUCCAGGCCUUUUAUAUACUCCCGAAGGGGAGUGGUUACAUAGUCUGAUUGGCUGGUGGGCAUCCAGCCCCAGGAAGAAGUGCAAGCAUGGGUCAACUUCUGAAGCCCCUGCUCCACUAGCAUUGGAAAGGUGGCCAGGAAAAGGCAGCCUCACAGGAGGAGCAGUGUGUGCAGGGCGCUGCGUAUGGCUGUCAGUGACCUUGAUGUUUGCUGCUGGAGACCCACCCAGCCGUGAUGACAGUCUGCUGUGUUACAUGACAUCACCUCUCCUCUGGACACUUCCUGGACUCCCCAAAGCACACUGACACUGAUACUGCUCUCCAACGUCAAUUUCUAUUGAUAUUUUCAAAGCAACAAUUCAUAAAAUUUGAAGGAGAGAUUAGUGGUAUACAUAAGCAGCACAUAAAAAUGGUAGAAGAUAUAAACCCAAGGUCAUUAAGUGAAAAUUUCUGAAGGGGUCCUUCCUGCCCGUAUUUGCUGUGCUGUGUUCUUAACCUUACUUUAGGGGACAGGGGCUGAGUUGCUUCUCAUUCCAUGCUCUUAAGCAGAGGAUUACCAAACGGAACACACUAGUGAGUUCAUGGAAUGCUAAGAAGCAGGAGUUCUGAUUUGAUUCAUAAUUUUUAAAAAAAAAAAAGAUUCAUUUAUUGCAUUUGAAAAGCAGAAUUAUAGAGAGAAGGAGAGUUACACAGAGAGAGAUCUUUCAUCCACUGGUACACUCCCCAAAUGGCUGCAACGUCCAGCUGUGCCAGGCUGAAGCCAGGAGCUAGGAGCCCAAGGACUUGGACCAUCUUCUGCUGCUUUCCCAGGUGCCUUAGCAGGGAGCUGGAACAAAGGAGGAGCAGCUGGUACUUGAACCAGCAUGCAUAGAGGAUGCUGGAGCUGCAGGCUGUGGCUUUUCCUGCUACGGCCAUAGCGUGGCCCUGAUUCAUAACAUUUUAUACUGGGACUUUCUGGUAUCUCCUUUGGUGUUUAUUUAUAAGAAUGAUUGUUUUAUUUUUUUAAAAUGAGUUUGUGUGAGAAGACAGUGGGUGUGGUGAUGACAAUGACAAAAAAUACAGAGAAAGAAAAAAGCCUGAGAAAGGUCAGAAAGCCCAGGAUUUCCACAAGCUCUUCUCUGCCCCAUCUUCCCACCGCCCGUCGUCCAGGCUGAGCCGUUCGCCACUCUGCAGUCACCCAGGUUGCUCCAGGGCAACCCUUGGUUUUCAUAGAACCUAGCCAGCAGGGAAGAUGUUUGCAGGGGGUUCUGGAGACACGGUGACCCCAGUUUCCCCAGAUCAGCUGCCUGAUCCACACCUCACAAGU
ensembl:lncRNA